rnacentral:rRNA from 1 species
GACGAACGCUGGCGGCGUGCUUAACACAUGCAAGUCGAACGAUGAAGCCUAGCUUGCUAGGUGGAUUAGUGGCGAACGGGUGAGUAAUACGUGAGUAACCUACCUUUAACUCUGGGAUAAGCCUGGGAAACUGGGUCUAAUACCGGAUACGACCAAUCUCCGCAUGGGGUGUUGGUGGAAAGCGUUAUGUAGUGGUUAUAGAUGGGCUCACGGCCUAUCAGCUUGUUGGUGAGGUAACGGCUCACCAAGGCGACGACGGGUAGCCGGCCUGAGAGGGUGACCGGCCACACUGGGACUGAGACACGGCCCAGACUCCUACGGGAGGCAGCAGUGGGGAAUAUUGCACAAUGGGCGCAAGCCUGAUGCAGCGACGCCGCGUGAGGGAUGACGGUCUUCGGGUUGUAAACCUCUGUUAGCAGGGAAGAAGAGAAAUUGACGGUACCUGCAGAGAAAGCGCCGGCUAACUACGUG